CCUCUCGCUGAUGGCACCAAAAUUAGUUGCGUUGAAUCACUCGCACACUGCCAAGUUGCUUCAUUUCUUCAGAUAAUUCAGUCUUUGACUUCUGUGAUUUCAUUUUUCUCUCCAAAUUGAUUUCUGCCACAACCUCUUGCAGUAUCCUGCUAUCCCUACAAUUUUUUUUUUAGUGUAAGAAACACAGCAGGCAGGGCACUGACCCUCUGUUUCAUCC
rnacentral:lncRNA from 1 species